UUCCUCUCUCACUGCUGGGCUAGAAUUUAAGGAGCGCGUACGAUGAUAGAUAUAGGCUGAUUAUUUUGGAUUAGAACCAACUAUGCUUUAUACUUCUAGUUAUUGCCUAUACUUUUCUUUUAAGUGCAGCAUGCUAUUUCAUGUUCAACUUAAAUCUACUGAAAGCCCAAUAGGAUCAUUUCUACCAAAAAUUCUACUUGAUUCCAUUUUUACCAUGUUAUUGUUUCUACUAGAAAGAUGAAGGGGUGGAGCUGGUUAUUGAUUGGGAAGGAAAAAACAGGAAAUUGUUAUUGAGAAAAUAAAUCAUCCGUGGUGGUGUUUUAUGAUAAACUUGAAUGAGUUAAUGUUCUUCAAGGAGUGAGGUGAUUGACAAUAAAGUUGAACAUGAACUACUUUCUAAAGCUGAGAUUGCAUGGGCCCAACCCAACACGAUGUGCUUUUUCCUUCCAUGAGACUCUUUUUCAAACCACCUGUUUCUAUGGCUACCGAUGGAACCUUUGUACAGUUACAGAGGACAUCAUAAAAAAAGAUGUGGAAGAGGAAAACUUCCGUUUUUGAGCUCUUUGGAUGAUCUGGGAAGAAUUCCAUGUUUUGGUUCUCUCUCGAGAAGUUUAUUUGCAGAGAACUCUCCGAUCUUCAAGUUACCAGGAGUUAUUUUGUAAAAAUUAUAAAGAAUAAGGGAAUGUUAGGUGAGUACUCCGUCUGAUAUUGAUGUGU
rnacentral:sRNA from 1 species